GACGAACGCUGGCGGCGUGCUUAACACAUGCAAGUCGAACGGUGACCCGGUGCUUGCACCGGUGAUCAGUGGCGAACGGGUGAGUAACACGUGAGCAACCUGCCCCCGACUCUGGGAUAACCCCGGGAAACCGGAGCUAAUACCGGAUACGAACCGCACGGGCAUCUGCGCGGUUGGAAAGAACUUCGGUCGGGGAUGGGCUCGCGGCCUAUCAGCUUGUUGGUGGGGUAACGGCCCACCAAGGCGACGACGGGUAGCCGGCCUGAGAGGGCGACCGGCCACACUGGGACUGAGACACGGCCCAGACUCCUACGGGAGGCAGCAGUGGGGAAUAUUGCGCAAUGGGCGAAAGCCUGACGCAGCGACGCCGCGUGAGGGAUGAAGGCCUUCGGGUUGUAAACCUCUUUCAGCAGGGAAGAAGCGAAAGUGACGGUACCUGCAGAAGAAGCACCGGCUAACUACGUGCCAGCCGCCGCAGUAACAC
rnacentral:rRNA from 1 species